UACAGAGGGGCAAGCGUUGUUCGGAAUUACUGGGCGUAAAGGGCGCGUAGGUGGCCUUCUAAGUUGAACGUGAAAUCCCUGGGCUCAACCCAGGAACUGCGUCCAAGACUGGGAGGCUUGAAUCCGGGAGAGGGAUGCGGAAUUCCAGGUGUAGCGGUGAAAUGCGUAGAUAUCUGGAGGAACACCGGUGGCGAAGGCGGCAUCCUGGACCAACACUGACGCUGAUGAGCGAAAGCCAGGGGAGCAAACGGG
rnacentral:rRNA from 1 species